rnacentral:rRNA from 1 species
UCGGGAUGAACGCUAGCGGCAGGCCUAACACAUGCAAGGUCGAGGGGGUAGAGUUCUUCGGGACUUGAGGACCCGGCGCACGGGUGCGUAACGCGUAUGCAAUCUACCUUAUACAGGGGAAUAGCCCAGAGAAAUUUGGAUUAAUGCCCCAUAGUGUUAUCGAAUCGCAUGGUUUGAUAACUAAAGUUCCAACGGUAUAAGAUGAGCAUGCGUCCCAUUAGUUAGUUGGUGAGGUAAAGGCUCACCAAGCCGACGAUCUGUAGCUGGUCUGAGAGGACGACCAGCCACACUGGGACUGAGACACGGCCCAGACUCCUACGGGAGGCAGCAGUGGGGAAUUUUGGACAAUGGGCGCAAGCCUGAUCCAGCAAUGCCGCGUGCAGGAUGAAGGCCUUCGGGUUGUAAACUGCUUUUGUACGGAACGAAACGGUGAGCUCUAAUACAGUUUGCUAAUGACGGUACCGUAAGAAUAAGCACCGGCUAACUACGUG